rnacentral:misc_RNA from 1 species
AAGUCGUAACAAGGUUUCCGUAGGUGAACCUGCGGAAGGAUCAUUAUUGAAUAAACUUGGUUAGGUUGCUGCUGGCUCUUAGGAGCAUGUGCACGCCGACUCCAUUUUUAACCACCUGUGCACCUUGAGUAGACCUGAAUGUAUGUCGAGGAAACUCGGUUUGAGAAUUGCUGUGUUUACAUGCCGGCUCUUCUUGAUUUCAGGUCUAUGUUUUCACAUACCCCAUACGAAUGUAUUUGAAAUGUCGCAAUAGGCCUUGUGCCUUUAAAAUAAAUACAA